rnacentral:lncRNA from 1 species
UACCCCUUCAAAACAUAUUUUUUCCGCAAAGGGUUUUCUUGUCUUGAACUUUAGAAAAUCAUAACUCUUGAUCUAACCGUUCAAUUUGUCUCAAAUUUACAAGAUAGGUAAAAUUUACCCUUAACUUGUAUCACAAAAAAAACCAACCGCAAAUUCACUCUUUAUCUUUUGGCAGAUGCUCUAAACCCUAAUUUAUAAGCACCUAAAUACUAUUUUCUUAAUAUCUCAAGAAUCCAAUAUUCAAAUGUCAUAAAACUUAUGCACAAAGUUUACUUACAUAAAAUUACAUAUUUCCUGAAAUUUUGAGCCAAAACCUUAUCAAAUUGCUCAAGAUAUAGCUUAAGAAAAAACCACUAGCAAAUCGGAUUACUUACUAUCCUUAGAUUGCGUGUGCUGACUUCAAAAUCCAAUAACUCCUUUAUUAUAACUUAGAAUCCAAUAAACAAUAUAUGAAAAGUGUAGCCACAAAAGUUUUCUCUCUAGUUGCAAUAACCGAUUCUCAAUUGCUAUCCGUACGCGUGCGUUAUGCUAAAAAGAGUGAAAAUAGCUCUCAAAUCAACACCUUAACUUUGAGCGUUUGUAUCUCCUUCAUAUAAAUUCCAAACCAUACAAAACUUCACCAAAACCAUAGCCAAAAACCUAAACCUUCUGACCCUAGCCUUCAAAACUCGAAUGGCCUCGAGAACUAACCCUAAUGCCUAAUAUGGCCUUAGGGAACCUCCUCAAAGCCCAUUGGUCAUGAUUUUUGACCAAUAUGAAUGGAGAUUUUCAUUAUUCAUCUCCAUUCAUCUAUAUUGGUGCCCUAAUUACUCCCUUUGCUACCAAAAUCCUUCUUCAAUCCUUUUUCUUAUAAGAUUUACAUAAUUUAUGCUCUAAACACCAAAUAAAAGAAUCAAAAGAAGUUUUUAAAGGUCACCAAUGUCUAACAAAGGUGAUUCUAAAUAUUUAGAAGUUACUAUCAACCAAAACCAAUCUUAAAAGCCACUAUCAAAAAUAAAUUCAAAUUAUACAAAUUCUAUAGUAAACUUUUUAAACAACCUCUUCUCAAGGUAAUAAUCAAAUUAUAUUCUACAACCAACUAAAAUCUACUAAUAUGGCUCUCACCAUGUUACUUAAUAAAUUAUA